UACGGCCAUAUAACUUGUAAACACCGGUUCUCGUAUGAUCACCGAAGUAAAGCAAAAUCUGGCCUGGUUUGCACACAGAUGGAUGGCUGCUUGGGAAUAUCACGUAUUGUUA